CAAGCAGGAAGGAAUCUUAUCCUUGGCACCCAAGAGUGCAGAAAGUACAGAAGACCCAUCUCAGACUACAGAGCCAGGAGUGAAGGAGCAAAGGGGCCAUUCUCUUGUCUGGAAUUUAGGUGUUCCUGGCUCAGAGGCUCUUGACAGCCUCUUGAACACGACAAAGUAGCCACAAAUCCUGUUACAUCACACCCCUACAUAAGAGAGACAAGAGAGAGCCAAGGAGAUAGGGAACAAGCCUGGCAGAAGAGUCUGGACAUGCCUUCCCUGCUUCCCACAGCCUGGCUGUGGACCUGGAUUCAGCAGUACCAUUUCCUACCUGUGUGACUACAAACAGAUCUCCCUUCCUCUUUCUCCCUCUCAACCUGUUUCCUCAUCUGGAACAUUAAUCUCUGGGAACUACUACAGGGAAGACUCAUGUGUGUCUUUCACUAGGUAAGUAACCAAAAAUACUGCUGGAGGAUGAGUAGAGCAGGCAAGAACAUGUUAUCCAACUGUGGCGCCGAUUAAAAAAAAAUUAAGGAAACAUCAUGAUGUGGUGAGAGUCUGGUGCAAGAUUAAACAGUGCAAAGGUUGGCAAAGCAAGAUGCCUGUUGUGCCCAGUGAGUGCCCAGAGCAAUGGCCCUCUGUAGAAAGUGGGUAAGUUGCCACUGUAAGUUCCAGGUCAGAGACUGGCCUGGUUCUUUUAUGGCUCCGGCUCCAGCAGCUUGGCACUGAGCAGGUGCCAUGGGGGUAGAGAGAUAAGAGCUUAUAUGAGAGAGUGAUCAGCAAACAGAGGCUCAGGGAAUGUGAGGACUCAAGGCCCAGGGCAGGCCCUGAGCAAGCCUGGGCCUCACAUGCACCCUCAUAAAGAGAACAAGUGCUUAAGGGUCCCCCAGCAUCCAAGCACUGUGGUCCCUGGAAUAGGGAAAAGCAGAGGUCUACCGAGAUCUAUGUCAGGCAGCUGUUAGUACAGCGGCCAAGCAGAACCUGCCCGGAACUACCCCUUUCCCUGCUCCCUGUGCCCUCACCCCUGCACCAGUUCUAAAGAUACUCAGACCAAUAUCAUCUGAACCCACCCUGACAACUAGAGACAUUAAGGCCCAGAGAGCAGAGGCAAUGAGAAAUAAAAACCCAGAAGCUGGGUAUGGUGGAGUAUGUCUGUAAUCCUAGCACUUUUGAGGCAGAGGCAGGAGGUUCAAGAGGAAUUCUCUGUCAUCCUCACUUACCUAGGGAGUUUGAAGCUAGCCUUGGCUACACAAAACAAAGAAAAAAAGACCCAGUUCUCCCGACUCCUGCCCUGAAAGUGCCACCACCCUGAUUUCUACGUGUGGGGACCUUGACAACUUGACAAGUUAUUACUUUAAUAACCACACACACACACACACACACACACACACACACACACAGUGCCUGCCACUCUGUUUUGUUUUUGUGGAGCAUGGUCUAACUCUGUAGCCCAUGAUCAACAGGCUGGUUUAUAACUUGAGACAGUCCUGCCUCAGCCUCAGGAGUGAUAGGAUUACAGAGAUGAAUCACACACAGAGUAUUGACUUGAGUAGGUGCCCACCCUACUCACCAUCUAGCCAGACAGAUGAUAAAUUAUUCCCCACGGGCCCCUUUUCCCCACCUUCCUCCUGGAGUAACCCUGUCUGUCACUAAGGGUGGAGUAAAGGCUGAAGAGUUGUCUAGGGACCAGGUUCUACGUUAGACAGUGGCUUCUGUGACGUCAUUAGGAAGCAGAACUAGACCCUCAAGUUAGAACACUUUCAGGCCUCUCAAGUGGGCUUGGCCUUGAGAGGGCCAUAUCCUGUUAGUGACAACAGGGGCUUUAUCCAAGCCCCACAAGGUCCGGAUCUCAGUGUUUACUCAGGAGGCCUCCAUGGUGAUGACUGUCCUGUGUGGGCUGUGAGAAAGGGACCGCUGCUGCCAGAGCCCCAAGAAUUAUUGCCCACCCUGGCAAAAGAAGGACUCGACAACCUACUCCCAGGAGCCCCUUACCACCUAGCCUGGGCAGAGAGCCCAAGGGAGGGCUUGGAGUCAGCAGAUGGAUCUGGUGCCUCUAACAGGAAAUUCAAGGGCGUCUAGAAGACUAACUACAUCGACCCAGCUAUCAAUCAAACUGAGUUCCUGCAGGCAUCAGGAUCUUGUUGGCAGGGCCCCAGCACAGAGGGAUUUCCUAAAGACUGAGGCAGGAGAGCAGAAGGACCUUCAGGGCCUGUCCACUGUCAAGUCCUUCGUUGAGGGGACAGGCUUCUCUCUCCCCAGAGGCUGGGGAUGCCCUGGGCAGCAGAAGCCUAAAGCCUGGCAGGGUAGUCCCCAGAAUUCAGGGCACAGGAACUAGAAGACAGAUUGGGAAUGAGGGCAAGGAGACCUGCAGAUGGAGUGAAGUACCCAGCCUAGCAGUCCAGGAAGUGGCUUGGACAAGGGAGCCAGGCUGUCUCGGUCAAGACCUCAACUCUCAGUUUACCUGACCUCAGUAUGUCUAGACUGUCUUGCCUCUAAGACUGUAGACCAAUGAGAUUUACAUUAUUACAGUGGAGGGAGUGGCUGAGCAGGAGUGCUGAGCUCAGUGCCCUAACCACAGUGAGUUCUCCAUAAGUGCACAUCGGAUGACAGCAUAUUGUCCCCCCACCUUCCCCCUCAGUUCCAAGAGCUGCCAAUGGCCUGCUUGUGCGCCCUUCGGAAAGCUGCCUUCAGUGGCAUUACCUCCUUAUGGUCACACAGUGCCUGCCAGCAGGGGACAGAGAGUCUGGUACUUCCUAUUCAAGGGCAGAGAAGCUGAGUGAAGGGCUGAUGUGGGCGGGGGCCUCUCCUGGAGCUCUGCUGUGAGAAAGAGGUUCUAGGUCAAGCUUCAUUCUGGGAUCAAAAAUCUAGUCCUAGAACAGCCCUACAGUCGGCCCAGCUGCUAUGGAACUGCUGCCUGGGGACUCUUCCUGCCCCAAGUCUAUGGAGUCCUGGGUCAGUGGGCAUCAUCACGUCUUCUCUGGGGGAGGGGGGGGCUGCCUCCUUCAGCACCUUCUAAAUUUAGGGCUUGGUUCUGUGACUCAUUUCUGAAUCUGCUUGGAUCCCUCCUCCAGGAGUGUGCUCCCACGGUAUUCUUAUCCUCCCCUGCCACAGGCACCAAAUCCUGCAGGAACCCCGGAAGGGCUCCCCACUCCUACUUGCCCAAGAUGCUCUGGAUGCCUCUCUGACCAGAUCCUACCCUCCAGCCCCACUUCUGUCUUCCCAACUUCCUCUUCCCUGGCCAAAGCUUUGUGACCACCUUGGGGGCUCUCUCCCAGGGGAGAAGGGGUGGAGUCAAGUCCUGCUCCUCCCAUCUGGCUUCAGGACACAGCCCGACACAGCCCAUUCCUGAAGAGUGCACAGUGCCUCCUCUGCCUCCUGAGACUAUUGUUCAACUCAAUGGAGCCAGGCUCCCCCAGGACUCUCUGUAACAGGCUGCUUGGGAGUUUCAUCUCCAUCUUUGGAUCUCCUUUGACCGUUCCAAGCUGAUUCCAUCCAUAAAUGUCAGAAAGCUUAGCAAAGAAGCAAUUUACCCAAGUCACACAGCAAGUCAAAGAUGGAGGCCGAGGAAUCCUCUGGUUCUUUACAUUCUUCACGAAAGUUCUGUGUUAGGAUCAAGGAAAUGAGGGGUCUGUAGUUUACAGACUAAUAAAGCAACCAUAAAGAGACA